AUACGUAGGGGGCGAGCGUUGUCCGGAAUUACUGGGCGUAAAGGGUGCGUAGGUGGCACUUUAAGUUGGAUGUGAAAUCCCCGGGCUCAACCUGGGAACUGCCUUUGUGACUGCAAGGCUAGAGUACGGUAGAGGGGGAUGGAAUUCCGCGUGUAGCAGCGAAAUGCGUAGAUAUGCGGAGGAACACCGAUGGCGAAGGCAAUCCCCUGGGCCUGUACUGACGCUCAUGCACGAAAGCGUGGGGAGCAAACAGGAUUAGAUACCCUGGUAGUCCACGCCCUAAACGAUGUCAACUGGUUGUUGGGUCUUCAUUGACUCAGUAACGAAGCUAACGCGUGAAGUUGACCGCCUGGGGAGUACGGCCGCAAGGUUGAAACUCAAAUGAAUUGACGGGG
rnacentral:rRNA from 1 species